rnacentral:rRNA from 1 species
UGGGGAAUAUUGGACAAUGGGCGCAAGCCUGAUCCAGCAAUGCCGCGUGUGUGAAGAAGGCCUUCGGGUUGUAAAGCACUUUUAUCAGGAGCGAAACGCUGUCGGCUAAUACCCGGCGGAACUGACGGUACCUGAGGAAUAAGCACCGGCUAACUUCGUGCCAGCAGCCGCGGUAAUACGAAGGGUGCAAGCGUUAAUCGGAAUUACUGGGCGUAAAGCGUGCGUAGGCGGUUUCUUAAGUCUGCUGUGAAAUCCCCGGGCUCAACCUGGGAAUGGCAGUGGAUACUGGGAGGCUAGAGUGUGUCAGAGGGUGGUGGAAUUCCCGGUGUAGCGGUGAAAUGCGUAGAGAUCGGGAGGAACAUCAGUGGCGAAGGCGGCCACCUGGGACAACACUGACGCUGAGGCACGAAAGCGUGGGGAGCAAACAGGAUUAGAUACCCUGGUAGUCCACGCCCUAAACGAUGCGAACUGGAUGUUGGUCUCAACUCGGAGAUCAGUGUCGAAGCUAACGCGUUAAGUUCGCCGCCCCGGGGAGUACGGUCGCAAGACUGAAACUCAAAUGAAUUGACGGGGUCAUAGCUGUUUCCUG